rnacentral:rRNA from 1 species
GAUGAACGCUGGCGGCGUGCCUAAUACAUGCAAGUCGAGCGAACAGACGAGGAGCUUGCUCCCCUGACGUUAGCGGCGCACGGGUGAGUAACACGUGGAUAACCUACCUAUAAGACUGGGAUAACUUCGGGAAACCGGAGCUAAUACCGGAUAAUAUAUUGAACCGCAUGGUUCAAUAGUGAAAGACGGUUUUGCUGUCACUUAUAGAUGGAUCCGCGCCGCAUUAGCUAGUUGGUAAGGUAACGGCUUACCAAGGCAACGAUGCGUAGCCGACCUGAGAGGGUGAUCGGCCACACUGGAACUGAGACACGGUCCAGACUCCUACGGGAGGCAGCAGUAGGGAAUCUUCCGCAAUGGGCGAAAGCCUGACGGAGCAACGCCGCGUGAGUGAUGAAGGUCUUCGGAUCGUAAAACUCUGUUAUUAGGGAAGAACAAAUGUGUAAGUAACUAUGCACGUCUUGACGGUACCUAAUCAGAAAGCCACGGCUAACUACGUG